GACGAACGCUGGCGGCGUGCCUAAUACAUGCAAGUAGAACGCUGAAGGAGGAGCUUGCUUCUCUGGAUGAGUUGCGAACGGGUGAGUAACGCGUAGGUAACCUGCCUGGUAGCGGGGGAUAACUAUUGGAAACGAUAGCUAAUACCGCAUAAGAGUAGAUGUUGCAUGACAUUUGCUGAAAAGGUGCAGUUGCAUCAUUACCAGAUGGACCUGCGUUGUAUUAGCUAGUUGGUGGGGUAACGGCUCACCAAGGCGGCGAUACAUAGUCGACCGGAGAGGGGGGUCGGCCGCUCUGGGACUGAGACACGGCCCAGACUCCUACGGGAGGCAGCAGUAGGGAGUCUUCAGCAAUGGACGGAAGUCUGACCGAGCAACGGCGCGUGAGUGAAGAAGGUUUUCGGAUCGUUAGGCUCUGUUGUAAGAGAAGAACGAGUGUGAGAGUGGAAAGUUCACACUGUGACGGUAUCUUACCAGAAAGGGACGGCUAACUACGUG
rnacentral:rRNA from 1 species